rnacentral:lncRNA from 1 species
GAAACUUUUAAAACAAAGUUUAAGUUCUGGCAAUGACAUAGAUGAAGAAUAUAUUGGAAGAAAAGUGAGAAGAAUAGAAAUUGUAGAAGUCUUGUGAUUGGAUAAGAUCUCAACUAAAUAAUUAGAUUUAUAAAAUUGAACAUUUCAAAGUGUCUGACAGGAUCUUGGUCCUGUGGUCUGCCCUAUAGGAUGGAACAUUACAUGUUGACACCACACCAUGACAAUUAACUAUAUAUAUAUAAAUUUUAUUUAUAGUGCAACCUUAUAUAACAUUUUUACAUACAUUAAUACAAAGUCAAUCAGCCAGCCUUCAAAGACUUAUGAAGCACUGUCAAUUAAUAUCUAAAAUUAGCG